UCCGCGGUAGCACAACGGUAGUGCGACUGGCUGUUAACCAGUAGGUUGCAGGUUCGAAUCCUGCCCGCGGAGCCA
rnacentral:tRNA from 1 species